rnacentral:lncRNA from 1 species
AUAUGUAAUUUAUUUAUUUUUUAAUCUAACUCGGUGCGAAAGACGAUUCAAAGUAUCUAGAUCUUCUAUAAAACAAGACAGUGCACGUGAAGCAUUAGUGAGAUAAUGACACAACUUUGCUUUGCAUUCAAAGAUGAGGGCCAUGCCUGCCUAGCGAUGGGGAAAUCAUUUUCCCCUGCCAUCUCCAAAUUUUAGCAUUCCACAGCUACAUCCACAGCUACAAAUUAACAUAAGUUAGCAGGAUAUGAGGAAAAAUACUAGCCUUCUACAAAAUUACAAAUAACUUAGCAGAAUCAUUGGAGUAUACAGUAGGUUUUGGAAGAAAAAAAAUGAAGAACUAGGAGUUAUUGGGACAGUCCUUUCUUCUUUAAUUCCUGAUAUCCAAACCAGCACUUGAACAGCCAAAUGGCUAGGGCAUAUAUAGAUCUGAAUUCUGGACAAUAAAUAAAGAAAUUCCAAAAUGGUAGAGGACAGAGGUCCCUCGAUACCCGGCCUGAGCACGGUCGUCCACAUGACGACGAUGAUAUAGAUGAGGUUGAGAUGUAUUAUUUUCCUGGAAGCCAUUGAGGCCCACAUGCCUCUUCUUCUUCAUGAAAGCCCGCAACAAGCCACGAGCUGGGAUUUUCAGAAUCCGUACUGCAUCUCCCUUGCCCGAUGCCGCCUCCUCCUUCUAGGUCCCUCCAUCUCCUGCUCAUCUGACCCCCUUCCCUCAUGGCAUGUUUCUCUCACUUCCUUGACAUGAUCUUGCCACCACUACUGCUACACCAAUUUGUUUGUAGCAUAGGGGGGUUUUGGUCCUUUUCUGUGCUUUGGGCAUUAGGUAUUGAUGGGCAGGAUUUCUGUUGAUUUCAGAGAUGAUAGGUAGGUUACAUCCUGCGCUGUGUCGUGG